rnacentral:tRNA from 2 species
GCCGCCAUGGUGAAAUCGGUA